CCUACGGGAGGCAGCAGUGGGGAAUAUUGCACAAUGGGGGAAACUCUGAUGCAGCGACGCCGCGUGAGUGAAGAAGUAUCUCGGUACGUAAAGCUCUAUCCGCAGGGAAGAAAAUGACGGUGCCAGACUAAGAAGCCCCCGCUAACUACGUGCCAGCAGCCGCGGUAAUACGUAGGGGGCAAGCGUUAUCCGGCUUUACUGGGUGUAAAGGGGGCGUAGACGGCAGGACAAGUAUGGAGUGAAAUCCCGGGGCUGAACCCCGGAAAUGCUUUGGAAACUGUGCGGCUGGAGUGCAGGAGGGGUAAGCGGAAUUCCUAGUGUAGCGGUGAAAUGCGUAGAUAUUAGGAGGAACACUGGGGGCGAAGGCGGCUUACUGGACUGUAACUGACGCUGAAGCACGAAAGCGUGGGUAGCGAACAGGAUUAGAUACCCGGGUAGUC
rnacentral:rRNA from 1 species